rnacentral:tRNA from 1 species
AGGCUUGUAGUUCAACGGUUAGAACACACAUCCGAUGAGUGUGUAAUAGUGGUUCGAUUCCACUCGGGCCUA